rnacentral:rRNA from 1 species
GACGAACGCUGGCGGCGUGCCUAAUACAUGCAAGUUGAGCGAUGAAGAUUGGUGCUUGCCCCAAUUUGAAGAGCAGCGAACGGGUGAGUAACGCGUGGGGAAUCUGCCUUUGAGCGGGGGACAACAUUUGGAAACGAAUGCUAAUACCGCAUAACAACUUUAAACAUAAGUUUUAAGUUUGAAAGAUGCAAUUGCAUCACUCAAAGAUGAUCCCGCGUUGUAUUAGCUAGUUGGUGAGGUAAAGGCUCACCAAGGCGAUGAUACAUAGCCGACCUGAGAGGGUGAUCGGCCACAUUGGGACUGAGACACGGCCCAAACUCCUACGGGAGGCAGCAGUAGGGAAUCUUCGGCAAUGGACGAAAGUCUGACCGAGCAACGCCGCGUGAGUGAAGAAGGUUUUCGGAUCGUAAAACUCUGUUGGUAGAGAAGAACGUUGGUGAGAGUGGAAAGCUCAUCAGGUGACGGUAACUACCCAGAAAGGGACGGCUAACUACGUG